rnacentral:rRNA from 1 species
UACGAAGGGUGCAAGCGUUGUUCGGAAUUAUUGGGCGUAAAGGGCAGGUAGGUGGUCCUAUUUGUCUGAGGUGAAAUCCCAGGGCUUAACCCUGGAAGUGCCUUAGAAACGGUAGGACUAGAGUGCUAGAGAGGUUUGUGGAAUUCCCAGUGUAGCGGUGAAAUGCGUAGAGAUUGGGAGGAACACCAGAAGCGAAGGCGACAAACUGGAUAGCAACUGACACUCAACUGCGAAAGCGUGGGGAUCAAACAGG